rnacentral:rRNA from 1 species
CGGACGGGUGAGUAACGCGUGAGAAUCUGGCUUCAGGUCUGGGACAACCACUGGAAACGGUGGCUAAUACCGGGUGUGCCGAAAGGUGAAAGGUUAACUGCCUGAAGAUGAGCUCGCGUCUGAUUAGCUAGUUGGUAGAGUAAAAGCCUACCAAGGCGACGAUCAGUAGCUGGUCUGAGAGGACGAUCAGCCACACUGGGACUGAGACACGGCCCAGACUCCUACGGGAGGCAGCAGUGGGGAAUUUUCCGCAAUGGGCGAAAGCCUGACGGAGCAAUACCGCGUGAGGGAGGAAGGCUCUUGGGUCGUAAACCUCUUUUCUCAGGGAAGAACACAAUGACGGUACCUGAGGAAUAAGCAUCGGCUAACUCCGUGCCAGCAGCCGCGGUAAUACGGAGGAUGCAAGCGUUAUCCGGAAUGAUUGGGCGUAAAGCGUCCGCAGGUGGCAAUGUAAGUCUGCUGUUAAAGAGUCUGGCUCAACUAGAUACAAGCAGUGGAAACUACAUAGCUAGAGUACGUUCGGGGCAGAGGGAAUUCCCGGUGUAGCGGUGAAAUGCGUAGAGAUCAGGAAGAACACCAGUGGCGAAGGCGCUCUGCUAGGCCGUAACUGACACUGAGGGACGAAAGCUAGGGGAGCGAAUGGGAUUAGAUACCCCAGUAGUC